AGGGGGACAACAGUUGGAAACGACUGCUAAUACCGCAUACGAUCUAAUCUCGGCAUCGAGGAUAGAUGAAAGGUGGCCUCUACAUGUAAGCCAUCACUGAAGGAGGGGAUUGCGUCUGAUUAGCUAGUUGGAGGGGUAACGGCCCACCAAGGCGAUGAUCAGUAGCCGGUCUGAGAGGAUGAACGGCCACAUUGGGACUGAGACACGGCCCAG
rnacentral:rRNA from 1 species